ACAGUGAGGAAUUUUGCGCCAAAGGGGGGAAACCCUGACGCAGCAACGCCGCGUGAGUGAAGAAGGCCCUUGGGUCGUAAAGCUCUGUCGACAGGGAAGAAAUUACUUCGUAUUAAUAGUAUGUUGUAUUGACGGUACCUGUAGAGGAAGCACCGGCUAACUCCGUGCCAGCAGCCGCGGUAAUACGGGGGGUGCAAGCGUUAUUCGGAAUUAUUGGGCGUAAAGGGCGCGUAGGCGGUCUUGUCGGUCAGAUGUGAAAGCCCGGGGCUCAACCCUGGAAGUGCAUUUGAAACAGCAAGACUUGAGUACUGGAGGGGAGAGCGGAAUUCCUGGUGUAGAGGUGAAAUUCGUAGAUAUCAGGAGGAACACCGAUGGCGAAGGCRGCUCUCUGGACHGAUAUUGACGCUGAGGCGCGAAGGUGUGGGUAGCAAACRGGAUUAGAUACCCCGGUAUCCACACCGUAAACGUUGUUCACUCGGUGUAGCGGAUAUUAAAAUCUGCUGCUCCCCAGCUAACG
rnacentral:rRNA from 1 species